rnacentral:rRNA from 1 species
GACGAACGCUGGCGGCGCGCUUAACACAUGCAAGUCGAACGGAAAGGCCUGCUUUCCCUUGUGGAUUGCGGGUACUCGAGUGGCGAACGGGUGAGUAACACGUGAGUGAUCUGCCCCCAACUUGGGUAUAAGCCUGGGAAACUGGGUCUAAUUCCCGAUAGGACUGCAGGGUGGUGCCUGUGGUGGAAAACGAUUUUCUAGUGGUUGGGGAUGAGCUCGCGGCCUAUCAGCUUGUUGGUGGGGUAAUGGCCUACCAAGGCGGGGACGGGUAGCCGGCCUGGGAGGGUGGACGGCGACAUUGGGACUGAGAUACGGCCCCGACGCCUACGGGAGGCAGGAGUGGGGAAUAUUGCACAAUGGGCGGAAGCCUGAUGCAGCGACGCCGCGUGGGGGAUGACGGCCUUCGGGUUGUAAACUCCUUUCGACCGCGAGGAAGCCACCUGGUUGGAAGGGUGGUGACGGUAGUGGUAGAAGAAGCACCGGCUAACUACGUG